CGCGACGCGGCGAGCCGCGGGGUUUCCAUGGGAACCGCAAGGCCGCGUCCCGCUGGGGCCCGGAAGCAGGCAGGCGCUGUGAGCCGCGCGGCGGGGGCUUCUUCUGCGGCCCGGCCGGCUCCUCGGAGUUUGAUCACCAUCAUCACAUGUGCCCUUUGGGAGUGCCAGGCAUUUUCCCACACACCAGCAACCACUUUUCUUCUUGUCCGGAGAAGACGUCCUUGGGGAAUAUUGCGAAAGGGAAGACUUUGGGGCUGGGUUUGGGCCAGUCUCCUAGUCCUGCCCUUCCCUUGAUUGAUGCUCUGGGUGAGGUGUACACCUCCGGCCUGGACUGAGCGCUCAUCUCAACUCUCCGCGCCAUCAUCAUGUCUAGCUGCUGCUUCUUCCUGAAGGCACUUCUUGCUCUUGGGUCCCUGACAUCCUGGGUGGCUGCAGGAGAGCAUGUGAAAGAAGGAGAAUGCCCUCCUGAUAAGAACCCAUGUAAAGAGCUGUGCCAGGGGGAUGAAUCGUGUCUGGCUGGGCAGAAGUGCUGCAGCACUGGCUGUGGUCGGGUCUGCCAAGGAGGCAUUCCAGAGGGGAGGAAAGGAGAUUGCCCCAGGGCUGUUCGGAAACAAUCCUGUUUUCAAAGGUGCGUCACUGAUGAGACUUGUCCGGGUAUAAAGAAAUGCUGCACGUUUGGCUGCAACAAGAGCUGUGUGGUCCCAGUCCCUAAGCCAAAGCUGGAGUCUGGUGGUGAAUGUCCUGCUGACCCCCUUCCAUGUGAGGAGCUAUGUGACAGGGAUGAGUCCUGUCCCCAGGGGCAAAAAUGCUGUAGCACCGGCUGUGGGCACGCCUGCCGUGGAGACAUUAAGGGCGGGGUGGUGAUUGUCCAAACAUUUUGGUGGGCCUGUGCAUUGUUGGCUGCAUGAUGGAUGAGAACUGCCAGGCUGGGGCAAAAUGCUGCAAGUCAGGCUGCGGCCGCUUCUGUUUCUCUCCAGUUCUGCCACCGGAACCAGCCAUGAACUCCAACUGGACCUCAGGUCUGAUUCUGCAUUAGAGAGCCCGAUGCCUUAGCUGUCCUGAUUUAUCCUGAGCUGCUUGGUGACUGCAGGGGGCUUGUUCUGGCUGCCAGGAGAGGGUGAUGCCCUGGGGCUGUGAGCCUCGUGGGGGCUCUCGUGGCCCUCUUUGCUCUGCUUCUGUUCCUGCUGCUGCCUUGAGCAUGGGAAACAGAGUUGUGGGUUUGGGCAAUGGUGUGCAGUGUCCCCAAUAAAGACUUUGCUCACCUUC